rnacentral:rRNA from 1 species
CAGUCGCCGCGGGAAUACGUAGGGCGCAAGCGUUAUCCGGAAUUAUUGGGCGUAAAGAGCUCGUAGGCGGUUUGUCGCGUCUGCCGUGAAAGUCCGGGGCUCAACCCCGGAUCUGCGGUGGGUACGGGCAGACUAGAGUGAUGUAGGGGAGACUGGAAUUCCUGGUGUAGCGGUGAAAUGCGCAGAUAUCAGGAGGAACACCGAUGGCGAAGGCAGGUCUCUGGGCAUUAACUGACGCUGAGGAGCGAAAGCAUGGGGAGCGAACAGGAUUAGAUACCCGGGUAGUCCCUGUCUCUUAUAU